UACGGAGGGCGCAAGCGUUUCUCGGAAUUACUGGGCGUAAAGCGCGUGCAGGCGGUCGAGUAAGUCGGUUGUGAAAUCCCCAGGCUCAACCUGGGAACUGCAUCCGAAACUGCUCGGCUAGAGUCCCGGAGAGGGAGGCGGAACUCCCAGUGUAGGGGUGAAAUCCGUAGAUAUUGGGAAGAACACCGGCGGCGAAAGCGGCCUCCUGGACGGUGACUGACGCUGAGACGCGAAAGCGUGGGGAGCAAACAGG
rnacentral:rRNA from 1 species